rnacentral:rRNA from 1 species
UACGGAGGUGGCAAGCGUUGCUCGGAAUCACUGGGCGUAAAGGGCGCGUAGGCGGGGAGGUAAGUCGGGUGUGAAAUCCCUCGGCCCAACUGAGGAACUGCGCCCGAGACUGCUUCUCUUGAGUCCCGGAGAGGAAGAUGGAAUUCCCGGUGUAGCGGUGAAAUGUGUAGAGAUCGGGAGGAACACCGGUGGCGAAGGCAGGUCUCUGGGCCAUAACUGACGCUGAGAAGCGAAAGCAUGGGGAGCGAACAGG